rnacentral:lncRNA from 1 species
GAAGAGCUGGAGUCAAUCGCACCACUUCAGCCCCUGAAUGUCCUCAGGCUGGUGCUCCUGGAGCACUUGGGUUGUGGCAUGUCAGCUUUCGAGUCGUGCUGUUGCACAGAUGUGGCAUGACAGACUCUUUAUCACACACAAGCUAUGUAUGUUGUCUGCAUAAAUGCACUUACCACCAUGUGGCUUACUAGAGGUGCUGGCUCAGGGGUGCUCAUUUCUCUCUCCUUAACAGUCCCACCAAAGACCCUGCAUGAACUUUACGAGUCAGUCAAAACUGGUUUUGCAUGGAGUAGCUACUACUUGUUUUGUUUGACUUGUUUAGGUUUUGGUUUUGAUUUUAAUUCAUAUUCCUGUUUCAGUGUGGCUUGCAGAAGUUGCCUAGAAACCAUCUCGCGUCAGCUCACUCAUCCAGGACACACGGCUCCCCAUAUGCAGGCAGAGAGAUAAGCUUUACUUCCUAAUUUUUUUUUUUUAAGAAAUGCAAUUAACCCCCCUUCCCCCUCCCAUCGUUGUGGUAUCUGAGAAGUAGGAGUCAAAGAAAAAAGAAAAAAAAAGCUGAGAAAAGUCUGGCAUGCAUAUUGUGUGGGGGUGUGCGGGUGGAGAAGGAAGAGGAGGAGGCUUUCUCAAGGCAGUGGCAGAGUCAGAGACGAAUUUGCCCCCUCUCAAAAGUCCAGCAGGCUUAACACAGCCUUCCACUAGUUCUGGGGACACAAAGCAGCUACAGACAUAGUUUAACUGGGCUUUGUGUUUUCGCCUCCCUGUUUGUGAAAAUAUCAGUCAUGACCUUCACCGUGUAUCCCAUCCAAAGUCUUCUCUCAGCUCUUCCUGUCUUUCAUAGUAGUUGUGACUGGCUGCUCGGUAUGAGGUGUACAUGUUGGGCAAUCAGAAAGCUGAUGAUUUUUCUGGUGUUCUUCCAGGGUAAAAUCACCUCACUUGUGAAAGAUUCGGAGAAGCUGGGAGCACUAAGCGCAGAGCUGAUGGUGGAAACAGACCCGUGCAAACAGAGAUCAGAAAAUAAAGGUAUCCAGCUACUCAGAACUGAAGAAUGCCUGUUGCUGAGCUGCCUUGCUCCCCCUGAGUACUGCAGAAGUGCAAGAUGCCUGUCCUCCACCAGCAAUGACAUGAUGCAGAAGCUGGCCCAUGGCAAACAGGACUGGGAUCUGCUUCAUGAAAGCAUCACAGGCACCGACUCCUCCUCCUCUUGGCGAGAUAAGGCGGCUAUCGGGGCAGGAAGCCUUCUUGGAAAUCACCGUGGGCUUGGCACUGCCGUGCAUCGAGGUAGCCAUGGAAACCUGCUCUCAAAGCCGGCGCCGGCUGAUAAGAGCCUCGAGUGCCACCGGCUGUGUCCGGCCGGGAGAAGGUGA